ACCUCUGCAAUAGGCGAAAGCCUGACAGGGUUAUUCUGAGUGACUUUCGCUAAGAGAGUCAUUUGACAUCUCUAAAAAUGGUGUAGAAUAAGGGGUGGGCAAGUCUGGUGUCAGCCGCCGCGGUAAUACCAGCACCCCGAGUGGUCGGGACGAUUAUUGGGCCUAAAGCAUCCGUAGCUUGUCCUGCAAAUCUUCCGUUAAAUCCACCUGCUCAACAGAUGGGCUGCGGAGGAUACUACAGGGCUAGGAGGCGGGAGAGGCAAGCGGUACUCAGUGGGUAGGGGUAAAAUCCUCUGAUCCACUGAAGACCACCAGUGGCGAAGGCGGCUUGCCAGAACGCGCUCGACGGUGAGGGAUGAAAGCUGGGGGAGCAAACCGGAUUAGAUACCCGGGUAGUCCCAGCUGUAAACGAUGCAGACUCGGUGAUGGGUUGGCUUCGAGCCAACCCAGUGCCGCAGGGAAGCCGUUAAGUCUGCCGCCUGGGGAGUACGGUCGCAAGACUGAAACUUAA
rnacentral:rRNA from 1 species